CACCGCCCGUCACACCAUGGGAGUGGGUUGCACCAGAAGUCGGUAGUCUAACCGCAAGGAGGACGCUGACCACGGUGUGAUUCAUGACUGGGGUG
rnacentral:rRNA from 1 species